GAAAUGCGAUAAGUAGUGUGAAUUGCAGAAUUCAUUGAAUCAUCGAAUCUUUGAACGCACAUUGCGCCCCUUGGUAUUCCAUGGGGCAUGCCUGUUCGAGCGUCAUUUGUACCCUCAAGCUCUGCUUGGUGUUGGGUGUUUGUCCCGUCUCCGCGCGUGGACUCGCCCCAAAGUGAUUGGCAGCCGGCGUACUGGUCCCGGAGCGCAGCACAUGUCGCGCAAACGAGUGCCUUGGUACGGCGGCGUCCAUAAGCCCCUCUCUCACGCUCUUGACCUCGGAUCAGGUAGGGAUACCCGCUGAACUUAAGC
rnacentral:misc_RNA from 1 species